rnacentral:rRNA from 1 species
UACGGAGGGUGCAAGCGUUAUCCGGAUUCACUGGGUUUAAAGGGUGCGUAGGCGGGCAUGUAAGUCCGUGGUGAAAUCUCCGAGCUUAACUCGGAAACUGCCACGGAUACUAUGUGUCUUGAAUGUUGUGGAGGUGAGCGGAAUAUGUCAUGUAGCGGUGAAAUGCUUAGAUAUGACAUAGAACACCAAUUGCGAAGGCAGCUCACUACACAAAUAUUGACGCUGAGGCACGAAAGCGUGGGGAUCAAACAGG